CUUUUGAUGAGAAAAUGCCCUCCUAUGUGUGGUCCCUCUUUUUACUUUUCCUUUUGUUGGAUGGACUGGUGGACAUAAAUUGUAUCUGGACCUACCAGAACAGAUCACUUUACAUGCUGUGUACUUUGGGUCCAGCCUCAGCAGAGAGAAGAGCAAGUGGUCAUGCCAAAAUGGUGUGGGUCAGAGAAGGUCACGGGAUUUGGCACAUGACCCAGACUGGGUCAUUUACUGAAAUGAGGAAAGCCUGGUGUAAGAAUUAUAUGAGGCCAGAUGCUGAGGGUGGCAGUGAGCGUGGGCAGCCAGGGGCAACCCUCUCGACUCCCGAGCAGAGAACCCUUGGUCCCUAGGGCUGGAUGCAAGUGUCAGGGAAGAUGCUUUGGCAGCAAUGCAGCAGGAUUCCCCACAUUUGGUGACAGCAAUAUUCAGAAGAAAAUAAUCUGCAAUACUGCAUCAUCCCUCUGUGUUGUCUUCUUCCCUCAUCACAUUAAAACCCAUGGAGUCCUCUACUGUAACCAAGGUAGAACAGACACACACAGAAGGAAGAUGUCAUGUGAUGAUGGAGGCAGAGAUUGGAGUGAUACAGCUACAAGCCAAGGAACACCAAGGAUUGUUGGCAGCCACUAGAAGCUCAGAAGAGACAGGGAAGGAUUCUUCCCUAGAACCUUCAAAGGCAGCAUGGCUCUGCUGACACCUUGACAUAUCAAGGGGUGACUUCUAGUCCCCAGAUGUGUGAGAGAAUGAUUUUGUUCUAAGUUGCCCAUUUGUGCAAAGGUGUGUUAAGUUUCCAGUGAUAGGAACAUCGUAUGGAGAAAGGGCAUCCUGAGAGAUGAAUGAGUCUGUUCUCUGCCCCAGCCAGGAUAAUAAUACCUCUAUCAUCCCAUACCCAGAGAAUGUAUCCACUUUCAUAUUUUCUAGGAAAGUGACUUCAACAGCUUCUGAAAGACCCCUGGAGUGCUUAAUACAGUUUUUGCCAGGGAAUUCUCUUCCUUAAAUUGCUUACAUCAUGGAAUAAAAAUGAUCUGGGAUAAGUUAAAAUUUUAAAAAAUAAAAUAUUUUCUCU
rnacentral:lncRNA from 1 species